UAUAAAAUUGUGGCACAAAUUGUGUCUGUCACAAAUAAUAUCACAAAUUGUGUCUGUCCAUUUACAGGGUGAUCUUACUCUUAGGAUGAGCCAAUACAGUGGACAGUUGAGGUCUAGGGAAGAGGAAAGAUUGAUGGGUUUCAACACUGGUGUCAUCAAGGAGAAACAUUCUGCUUGCCCAAGGCUGUGAUGAUGUCUUCCCCCACUCAACUACGUGUUACUAUUGAAGAGACUAAAGUUCAUAAGUUAACACUACCAGAUGGAAUCACUAGCACUGUAGAUGAACUUUUGGCAGCUGCACAGGAUCAUUUUCAACUCCAAGGGAGUUUACUUUUAUAUACAUGGACAAACAUUUUGAUAACCAAUUCUUCACUCUAACGUCAACAGAUGUGGUUAAGACACAGUCAAAUUAGUUAAAACAGAACCUUCUAUUAUUCUCACAUGGACUCCCUUCAAUGAGGCUGCUGCUUCCUCCCCUCCAGUGUCACUGGAUCAGUCUUUCCAGGAUGACAGUUCCUCAGUUAGUUCAUCUGACACCAUAAGUUUACCACAGCCCCAGAAUAUCGAUCAGAACCUUGGCCAACUAAUUUUGUGACACCCACCUUUUUAUAUAAUGUCGAAAUGCCCCUUCAAGAAGGAAAUAAGGCUUAUGAAAGUGAUGGCUCACUACUUCAGAAUCCAAGCAUGAAUUCUGACAUACUUGAGAAACUUGCUGAAACAAUAUUCCACUACACUGCCUGUCCCACUGGUCUUCGAAUACAAGCAGUUGUAGAAGCUCUGAUAAAAAAAAAAAAACAAUCAAUGCCUAAGAGAGCCUGGAACCUCAUUUUCAGACAUGAAUGGUUGGCAGCAUUCCUCCACAUCCAAGUGGAGAAACUAGCAACAGUCUGGAGAUGGAGAGACAGGAGCUUCUUAACAAGGAGGACAGCCGCAGUGAUGUCACUCAACACAUCCUCACAAGGGAAUGUUGCCAGGAUGUGGCAGUGCUGCUAAAGCUUGCAUGCUGCUUAUGGGGCUGAUUUAUGCCCUCAACCUUGUAUACCUUCAAACAAUACUCUACACUUUUGAGGUGUUUCAAAAACUUUUCCUAGAACUGGAUGGGAUUAAGCUGACCCCAAAACUACAAGCUUUAAAUUUGAUUUUGCUGUCUUAAAUGCUAUUGACAUGGCAAGUACUGUACAGUCUUGGCUGCUGGUACAACCCACCUCAGUUUUCCAUCUUGCAAAUGACUGUAAAAACUUGCAAAAACCACUGGUCCCUCCGCUCACAUACAGCAACCUGUCUUAUAUGGACAUUCCACUGACCUGGAUACAGACUUACAGUGGCCUUCUUCAGUUUUGUCUCUCCAAAAGACUGUGUUGGAUGGGGUCAAAUAUAGCCAGGACUUGUUGACUUUGAAAACUAUUUUGCGGUUUGUAAGAUGGUUUAAUGCAAAAAUAAUGCAUAGAAGCAAACAUAAUCGCAAUGGAAUGAUAAUGUAUUUUGUGCCAGUGUGAAUAUCAGUGUCCUUUUCAUUAUAAACACUUGGCCCUAACAGUAUGUAAGGCACUUGACAAAAAUAGUAAUGCGGGGCUUUAGUGAUGAUGUCCUGCUCGCAUGCUUGUGGUGAAUUAGAACCUGGUUUUAUUGUCAUUGAUGUAUAUUACGGAUAAAAGGUAAAGAAAAGUUAACAUUUUAUUCUUUAUCUAGAACUGUUAACACCUUUAGCUGUUGAUCAAAAUGUUUUAAUGCAUUAAAGUUUUAAUAGCAUACUUAAAGUGCACUAGUCCAGAGUGCUGGUUUGAAUGUUGCAAUUGUAACAUUUCA